CUCCUUCACUACGGAGCAGCGCAGGGCUUCAGCUAAAGGCUAACAGCCAUGGCGUCCACCGAGAUAGCGAGACAAGCGGGUGAAGGUGCUCGUGCCGUCCCUCUGGCAGGCCAUGUCGGCUUUGACAGCAUGCCCGACCAGCUGGUCAACAAGUCUGUCAACCACGGAUUCUGCUUCAACAUCCUCUGUGUUGGUGAGACAGGUCUGGGGAAGUCCACCCUGAUGGACACGUUGUUCAACACCAAGUUUGAGGGCGAGCCCACUCAGCACAACCAGCCGGGAGUCACGCUCAAGUCCAACACCUACGAACUCCAGGAGAGCAACGUGCGCCUCAAGCUCACUGUUGUCAACACUGUAGGCUUCGGAGACCAGAUCAAUAAAGAACAAAGCUACAAGUCCAUUGUGGAGUUUAUUGAUGCCCAGUUUGAGGCAUAUCUGCAGGAAGAACUGAAAAUCAAGCGCACGCUACACAGCUACCACGACACCCGCAUCCACGCAUGCCUGUACUUCAUCGCUCCCACGGGACACUCGCUCAAAUCUCUCGACUUGGUGACCAUGAAGAAACUCGAUAGCAAGGUCAACAUAAUCCCAAUCAUCGCCAAGUCAGACGCCAUCUCCAAGAGCGAGCUGGCCAAGUUCAAAAUCAAAAUCACCAGCGAGCUGGUCAGCAACGGAGUGCAGAUCUACCAGUUCCCCACUGACGAUGAGUCUGUGGCAGAGAUCAACUCCACCAUGAACAGCCAUUUGCCGUUUGCAGUCGUGGGGAGCACAGAGGAAGUGAAGAUCGGUAACAAGAUGGUGAAGGCCCGGCAGUACCCAUGGGGGACAGUGCAGGUGGAAAAUGAGAAUCACUGUGACUUCGUCAAACUGCGAGAAAUGCUGAUCAGAGUGAACAUGGAGGACCUGCGAGAGCAGACUCACACACGCCACUAUGAGCUGUACCGCCGCUGCAAACUGGAGGAGAUGGGAUUUAAGGACACAGACCCUGACUGCAAGCCCUUCAGUCUGCAGGAAACAUAUGAAGCGAAGAGGAACGAGUUCAUGGGUGAGCUGCAGAAGAAAGAAGAGGAAAUGAGGCAAAUGUUUGUGCAAAGAGUCAAAGAGAAGGAGGCCGAGCUUAAAGAAGCAGAGAAAGAGCUGCACGAGAAGUUUGACCGUCUGAAGAAGCUCCACCAGGACGAGAAGAAGAAAGUGGAGGAUAAGAGGAAGUCCCUGGACGACGAACUCAAUACGUUCAAACAGAAAAAGACUGCAGCAGAGCUCUUGCUGAAUCAAGCUCAGCAGGCAGGGGGCUCCACCACACUCAAGAGGGACAAAGAGAGGAAAAACUGAUGUGACUCCGUGCCUGUUAGAAAAAGGAAGACGACACUUGCACUGAGAAGUAAUCCCUGGCUCUGCACUGAGUAGGUGCUCAACCUUCGAGCUUUGCUUGGGGAACCAACCUUUGUCAGUUCUGAGCACCUCAAAUGUGACCAGAGGCUUUUUGGACUCCGUCCUUCAGGGUUUUCUUAAUCAUUACCUGCUCUUGCUUUAAUAUGGGUUCAUGUGUAUUUGUGUUUCACUGCUACUCUAACUUCACCUCAGGCCAUCUGAACCUUGCUUUAUUGCUUCUGUGUGUGUGUGUGUCCUGUUUUUUGCUGAGACUAACACCCUUUUCCACUUGGGUUGUGAUGGAGAUUACGUGCACACUUGUUUGAUGUAGUAUUUGGAAAGCACAUAGAUUUUGUCUCACACACGGAUCACAUUCAAGUAGAUACUCGUGUGGAAUUGGCGCACAUCCUACAAAAUGUAUUCACUGCUUUAAAAAUAGUCUGUGGGCACAAUAUUCUCUUGUUAUUCACACUUUGUGUUGUUUAAAUGACAAAUCACAGGCACUUUACUGCCUGAUUGUGUAUUUAUGAUCACCUUUUUCCUUCCUGAUAUCUAGUGCACUUUAAAAAUCCUUGACCCUCACAUUUUUUGUCCUGCUUUGCCCACCUCUCCUAACUGCCGGCUUUCUUUCUCUUUGUCUCUUCAGCUUCUUUUAAUCUGUCUUGGCCACCUGAAGAGGGGAUUGCAGCUUCGGCCAGAACUAAGCACCCUUUACCUCUUCCAGUUUUCUCUCGCUGUAUCAACCUUUUGUAUUUUCUCCGCCAUCCCAUCUGUUUUUGUUAAAUAUGGCCUUAUGUGGACUCUCAUGGUAUUUCUGACCACCCAAUGAAGAUCUAGACUGAGGCAUUUUGGGAACCGGGCACAAUUUAGUUUAAAUCUGCUAUGUCUUAAUGUAAAUAAAGCAACUCUUGUAGUUCAAAGAAGUUACCAGUAGGGUAUUUACACAUUUACAGGACUGGAGGACUUGAAAUAAAAUCGCAUUAACCGACACCAUGCACUCAUCUUAGUAGGAUUCUUCAAUAAAAGUUAAAAUUCGAAUUUAACACACACUGAAAAUACUUAAAACGUGCUUCAGUUGGUAACACAUCAAUUUAAAUUAUUUCAAAUUUAAGUUAUGGAUUGUGUUAUCAAUGUGUUUUUUAAGUUGUUAAACAAAUGUGAUUUGUUAAUGUGGGCUAUGCAAAUCAAAUUUGAUUGAUUAUAAUGUACAGAAUAAUGAGACGUGUUGUUUUCUCUCGUCCAGUCCGGUUUAAAAAUUCUUAUCUCCUGCUUCCAGGAUUUUUGAAAAUGGAAAAUCAAACACCAGUGUUAAAUUAGUCAUAAUCAUGCUAAUGCCAAAGCAAUAUUUGUACCUAGCACUUCAUUUUAAGGUGCCCAUGUUUACAUGUCACUGUUGAAUACCAUGAAGGUCACAUGUCAUGGCCUUUAAUUACACUCUGUGCUUUAAUAUUCACAGGCCUAUCCUAUAGUUUGCAUGCAUCUUUUGAUUCGGUUACUGCUGUGAUCUUUUACCUGCUUGUUUUUAUCCCCUAAUAACUCAAGUUUUGCAGUUUACUGCAACUUCAUUGUUGUUUUUUAAAAAGGUGCAAAUGAUUAAUGUAUAUUUUAUCAGCUCCCAUUUUGCCAAAUAUUAGAAUAAGAUGAAGUUAAACUGAAUCCCAGAUAGAAUCGAGUAUUAAAAAAUACUCCUGCAUUUAUAUAAUUUAUAAGGAUAUAUUUUGUGUAUUGAAGUGGAGACUUGUUGUUUAUUACCUAUGACCUUUGGACGUGUCUCUGAGUGUAAAGUAACAUGUUGGUGUCAGACAUUGCCAUACAUUUUUCUAGUAUCAGUCAUCACCUCUUGUAGUCAGAAAAUCUCCCAUACUACAAAUUAUUCAAUAUCUUACCUUAGUUUGAUUCCAGUGAUGUAAAUUUUCAAUAAAAAAAAUAUGAUCCAAACAUA